rnacentral:rRNA from 1 species
GAUGAACGCUGGCGGCGUGCUUAACACAUGCAAGUCGAACGAAGCACUUUACCUGAUUUCCUUCGGGGAUGAUUGUUCUGUGACUGAGUGGCGGACGGGUGAGUAACGCGUGGGUAACCUGCCUCAUACAGGGGGAUAACAGUUAGAAAUGACUGCUAAUACCGCAUAAGACCACAGGGUCGCAUGACCCGGUGGUAAAAACUCCGGUGGUAUGAGAUGGACCCGCGUCUGAUUAGCUAGUUGGUGGGGUAACGGCUCACCAAGGCGACGAUCAGUAGCCGACCUGAGAGGGUGACCGGCCACAUUGGGACUGAGACACGGCCCAAACUCCUACGGGAGGCAGCAGUGGGGAAUAUUGCACAAUGGGGGAAACCCUGAUGCAGCGACGCCGCGUGAAGGAUGAAGUAUUUCGGUAUGUAAACUUCUAUCAGCAGGGAAGAAAAUGACGGUAC